rnacentral:ncRNA from 1 species
GGCCGGAUAAGGCGUUUACGCCGCAUCCGGCAUUUGAGCAUAGUGCCUGAUGCGACGUUGACGCGUCGUAUCAGGC